rnacentral:rRNA from 1 species
CCUACGGGCGGCAGCAGUGAGGAAUAUUGGUCAAUGGGCGAGAGCCUGAACCAGCCAAGUCGCGUGAGGGAGUACUGCCCUAUGGGUUGUAAACCUCUUUUGUCGGGGAGCAAAAGCCGGACGUGUCCGGCUGUGAGAGUACCCGAAGAAAAAGCAUCGGCUAACUCCGUGCCAGCAGCCGCGGGAUACGGAGGAUGCGAGCGUUAUCCGGGUUUAUUGGGUUUAAAGGGUGAGCAGGCGGAGUUUAAUGUCAGCGGGAAAAUCGUGGGGCGCAACCCCGUCCAGCCGUUGAAACUGGGGAUCUAGAGUGUGCGAGAGGUAUGCGGAAUGCGUGGUGUAGCGGUGAAAUGCAUAGAUAUCACGCAGAACCCCGAUUGCGAAGGCAGCAUACCGGUGCACAACUGACGCUCAGGCACGAAAGCGUGGGUAUCGAACAGGAUUAGAUACCCCAGUAGUC